UAAAACUGUAAUGGCUGCCAAACUCGAACUGUGCGGUUAAUUGUUUAUCCAUUCAAACAUGAUUUUUGGGUUUCCAAAUGAGAGACUAAAAUAUACACUCGUACUACUCCCAAGAAAUCAGGAACUACAAGCGUAUUCACUAAUAUCUUAUAGCAAGCAUGAUAAAUCAAUGGCAGGUCAAUACAUCAAAGAGAAGCAACAUAGCAUAUCCUUGCUAUUGUAAAGAUAUAAAGACAACACUCUAGCGCAUGAGCAGCUACUACAGAAACACGGCUCCCUGGAAGGAGGAACGUGAGAACAGUAUACACACGGAGUUAUACAACAAAAGGAGUAGAGAAACUUUAUAAUAAAGAUGUUUCUUUUUCCUGGCUUUAAAAAGAAAUGAUGAUAACCAUACUCACACUUUCAAAAAGUUAUUAAUACGAACUUUGACGGUUAAAAUAUGCAUUACUUGUAGAUGAUAAGUUUAGACUUAAAAAACAAACUGAUUAGGCACUGCAGUGUAUAUUAAUACAUGUCAAACAAUGUUUAUAUGAAGAAAAUGGAUAGAAAAAUAAAUGCAUUUACUUGUA